rnacentral:antisense_RNA from 1 species
AAAAUGGCGACACGUGGUUAGCAUUCGUCGCCAACGAGAAAUUGGGGUCGGCCCGAAAGCUCUAGAAUGCACCCCUAUUCCUCCCCGGGGCCAUUCCCGCUCAACGAGUUUUAUGACCUAAAAAACCCCACAGGCUGGUCUGAAGGUCGGAGGCCUAAUUUUAACGCGUUUUCCUCCCUUUAAUUUGAAACGGGAACGCGAAUAACUAAAAUAGGAAGACACUUAAAGAUGAAGUGCUUAAUUCAAGGUCACAGAAUGUCGGGGAUGGACCUCCAGAUUUCCUUACUGGUGAGACGUGGUCUUGUAACACAGUGGUUAAGAAUGUGACUUUGGAGCCAGCCUGCUAGGGGCUGAAUUCUGACUCAGCCAUUUAUUAACUGUGUGACCUUAGGGAGGAGGACCUGGUUGAUAGAAGAAUUUAUCUCAUAGUCUUAACAUCCACUGUAAUUCCGAACUUUGAGGACGAUAGAGAUCAGUGGGCUUUGACUGCCCAGCAUGCAGUCUCCAUUCUUAGGUAGGUUCCCAAGCCUGUAAAAUGUAAGUCUUAUGUUGCUGAGGGCCAUCUUGCCACCCCGAGGGGAACGCUGCCUGAGAAUGAAACCAGCAUAAGUAAAAGCUGAGCUGUGAGAUGGAGUGAGAUGAAGGCCACAUGACAUCUUUGGAGCACCUGGAUCUAACUGUGCCUUAAGCUAGUCUAACCCUGAACAUUUCAUUGACAUGGGCCCAGGUUUUCCCUUUUUUUUUUUUUUUUUUUUGGAUGGAGUCUCACUCUGUCGCCCAGGCUGGAGUGCAGUGGUGCAAUCUCGGCUCACUGCAAGCUCCGCCUCCCGGGUUCACGCCAUUCUCCUGCCUUAGCCUCCCAAGUAGCUGGGACUACAGGCUCCCGCCACCACUCCCGGCUAAUUUUUUGUAUUUUUAGUAGAGACGGGGUUUCACCGUGUUAGCCGGGAUGGUCUUGAUCUCCUGACCUCAUGAUCCGCCCGCCUCGGCCUCCCAAAGUGCUGGGAUUACAGGCGUGAGCCACUGCGCCCAGCCCUCAGGUUUUCCCUUUUUUUACCCCUCCUUUUGAAAAUUUGAUUUGGAAUUUUGCCACCUGCAGCCAGAAGAGUUUUAACUAAUCAGUGCCAUAAAUUUUAUAUAGUUCUCCUUACAAAAUGUGCAUCAGCCUUUCUCAACAAAUCCUUUGUCUUAAAGUGCUGAAUUGUAAGUUUGUCAUGAGAAUCACAUGAGAUUAUGCAUGUGAAGAACCUGGCAUUAUCCUCCUCGUAGAAAAAAAACAGUAAAUAUUAACUACAGGAAGCAAGGAAGGAGGGGGGUGAGGGGAAGAAGAAGGGGUACUGAUUUAAAAGAACCCUGGAGUCCUUAGGAUAAUCUAGGAACCCUCAGACCCAAUCCAAUACCCCUAUUCUAAAUGCUCCUAGUGCCCUGUACCUUCCCCUCAUAACCCUUCAUUAUGAUUGUAAUGAUAUGGUUAUGUAAUAUUUUGAUUAAUGUCUCUCUCCUUCACUGACCUAGCAGUUCUAGCAGGGCAGUGAUUUUGCUCAGUGUUGCAUCCCCAGCACCUAGUCUGGUAUGUCGCAUUCAGCAUACGUUUAUUGAAUGAAUGGCCAUGUGGUUACUCGGAUCCUCCUUGAUUAUUGGGGUUAGGAUUGUGGCAGAAGUGGCAAAAUCAGGGAGAGUAGUCCCUGUCCCCUCUGUAUCUUAUACACUGCCCACACUCCCAACAUACAUACACAUACAGAGAAUUUUGUCUCAAUUAGGUAAUUAACUUCUGCUUGGUUGUAAACCAAACCACUGGUUCUUAAACUUUCAUUGGAUAAUUUUAUUGGAGAAUUAAAUAGUGUGGUUCUGGCCUAAUGUCUGGAAAGCCUUGCAGAGGAGUGGGUUAGGUCUUUGUGAUAAACAGGCAGCCUUCCCUGCUCCUGUGUCUUUAUAAAAUCUCCUAUUUAACUGGAGUAGUCCACCCUCCCUCAGGCUCUUAUAGGAAUGUGUUGGAGGCUGUAGGAAGGUGGGAAACUGAGAGGGAAAGGACUGGGCCGCUGGAGACUUCACUCACUCCCUAGCAAGAAACAAAAGCAGUAAAAGGUGGCCCGAGGACAACCUGAAGCUCACUCCUUCAGCACUUUUGGCUGGAGCUCUCUUGUUGGAGCCGCACUCAGAGCUCAGCACACCACCCCACCAGCAGCCUCCUCCUCCCAGCUGAGGCUGCAUUUCAUCCCUUCCCCCAGCCUGCUUUCCCUGAGAUAGGGGAGUGUUUCCCAGGGCCCAUGUGACUUCCACUGGCAAGUGACGAUUACCAAUGGUUUACUAGUCAGUAAAACUACCAAAGGCUUUUGUGCUGUAGUAAUCCUUUUCCUGUUUAAAACUCUGGGGAUUUUCUAAUGUUGCCAAUAGUUUUUCAAGUCAGCAAUUACUGUGUGGAUUAUGUAAUGGCUAGGUAUUAAAAAUAGAAAAGAUUGG